AGAGACAGCAGCCGCCACGGGAAUACGUAGGGUGCAAGCGUUAAUCGGAAUUACUGGGCGUAAAGCGUGCGCAGGCGGUUAUAUAAGACAGAUGUGAAAUCCCCGGGCUCAACCUGGGAACUGCAUUUGUGACUGUAUAGCUAGAGUACGGCAGAGGGGGAUGGAAUUCCGCGUGUAGCAGUGAAAUGCGUAGAUAUGCGGAGGAACACCGAUGGCGAAGGCAAUCCCCUGGGCCUGUACUGACGCUCAUGCACGAAAGCGUGGGGAGCAAACAGGAUUAGAUACCCCCGUAGUCCCUGUCUCUUAUAC
rnacentral:rRNA from 1 species